rnacentral:rRNA from 1 species
UACAGAGGUCCCGAGCGUUGUUCGGAUUCACUGGGCGUAAAGGGUGCGUAGGUGGUCGUGUAAGUCUGACGUGAAAUCUCCGAGCUUAACUCGGAAAUGGCGUUGGAUACUAUUCGGCUGGAGGGUUGGAAGGGGGACUGGAAUUCUCGGUGUAGCAGUGAAAUGCGUAGUUAUCGAGAGGAACACCGGUGGCGAAGGCGAGUCCCUGGACAAUUCCUGACACUGAGGCACGAAAGCUAGUGGAGCAAACAGG